rnacentral:rRNA from 1 species
UACGAAGGGGGGCUAGCGUUGCUCGGAAUCACUGGGCGUAAAGGGUGCGUAGGCGGGUCUUUAAGUCAGGGGUGAAAUCCUGGAGCUCAACUCCAGAACUGCCUUUGAUACUGAAGAUCUUGAGUUCGGGAGAGGUGAGUGGAACUGCGAGUGUAGAGGUGAAAUCGUAGAUAUUCGCAAGAACACCAGUGGCGAAGGCGGCUCACUGGCCCGAUACUGACGC